UACGUAGGGGGCUAGCGUUGUCCGGAAUCAUUGGGCGUAAAGCGCGUGUAGGCGGCCCGGUAAGUCCGCUGUGAAAGUCGGGGGCUCAACCCUCGGAUGCCGGUGGAUACUGUCGGGCUCGAGUACGGAAGAGGCGAGUGGAAUUCCUGGUGUAGCGGUGAAAUGCGCAGAUAUCAGGAGGAACACCUAUUGCGAAGGCAGCUCGCUGGGACGUCACUGACGCUGAGACGCGAAAGCGUGGGGAGCAAACGGG
rnacentral:rRNA from 1 species